GAGUGAAGAGGGAUAAGCUCAAAUUUUAAAUCUGAUCGGUUCUACUUAUCAGAAUUGUAAUUUGAAGAAACGUUUUCUGGUCUUGAAUUAGCCUAAAUCUUUUGGAACAAGGUAUCAUGGAGGGUGACAAUCCCGUUCAUGGUUAAUUUUAAGGCGCUUUACGAUACGUUUUCAAAGAGUCGAGUUGUUUGGGAUUGCAGCUCAAAAUGGGAGGUAAAUUUCUCCUAAAGCUAAAUAUUGGCGAGAGACCGAUAGCGAACAAGUACCGUGAGGGAAAGAUGAAAAGAACUUUGAAAAGAGAGUUAAACAGUACGUGAAAUUGUUGAAAGGGAAACGACUGAAGUCAGUCAUACCAACGGGAAAUCAACCUUUUGAGCUUGGUCUCGUGGGUUUUGAAGAGUUUCAAAGCCUUCGGAUUCGCGGGAUUGGGAUCUCUUGGCGUACUUUUUCGUACGGUUAGUCAACAUCGGUUUUGAAUGUCAUAAAAUGACUGGAGGAAUGUAGCUUCGAUCUCGUAUUGAAGUGUUAUAGCCUUUGGCAGAUGUGAUGUUUGAGACCGAGGAUUGCAACGGAUACCCUCCAGGGCUAUUCGUCUGAUCUCUGAUACGUUGCCUUGAUGUUGAAAGCUUGCUUAUGAUGUUAGGGUAUUACGGUCAAAAGGUUAGAACGAAUUACAUUCGUUA
rnacentral:rRNA from 1 species